rnacentral:rRNA from 1 species
GACGAACGCUGGCGGCGUGCUUAACACAUGCAAGUCGAACGCUGAAGCUCAGCUUUUGUUGGGUGGAUGAGUGGCGAACGGGUGAGUAACACGUGAGUAACCUGCCUCCUUCUUUGGGAUAACGCCCGGAAACGGGUGCUAAUACUGGAUAUUCACUGGUCUUCGCAUGGGGGUUGGUGGAAAGGGUUUUUCUGGGGGGGGAUGGGCUCGCGGCCUAUCAGCUUGUUGGUGGGGUGAUGGCCGACCAAGGCUUUGACGGGUAGCCGGCCUGAGAGGGUGGCCGGUCACAUUGGGACUGAGGUACGGCCCAGACUCCUACGGGAGGCAGCAGUGGGGAAUAUUGCACAAUGGGCGCAAGUCUGAUGCAGCGACGCCGCGUGAGGGAUGGAGGCCUUCGGGUUGUGAACCUCUUUCGCUCAUGGUCAAGCCGCAACAAUGGUUGUGGUGAGGGUAGUGGGUAAAGAAGCGCCGGCUAACUACGUG